UGGGGAAUUUUGGACAAUGGGGGAAACCCUGAUCCAGCCAUCCCGCGUGUGCGAUGAAGGCCUUCGGGUUGUAAAGCACUUUUGGCAGGAAAGAAACGUCAUGGGUUAAUACCCCGUGAAACUGACGGUACCUGCAGAAUAAGCACCGGCUAACUACGUGCCAGCAGCCGCGGUAAUACGUAGGGUGCAAGCGUUAAUCGGAAUUACUGGGCGUAAAGCGUGCGCAGGCGGUUCGGAAAGAAAGAUGUGAAAUCCCAGAGCUCAACUUUGGAACUGCAUUUUUAACUACCGGGCUAGAGUGUGUCAGAGGGAGGUGGAAUUCCGCGUGUAGCAGUGAAAUGCGUAGAUAUGCGGAGGAACACCGAUGGCGAAGGCAGCCUCCUGGGAUAACACUGACGCUCAUGCACGAAAGCGGGGGGAGCAAACAGG
rnacentral:rRNA from 1 species